rnacentral:rRNA from 1 species
GAUGAACGCUGGCGGCGUGCCUAACACAUGCAAGUCGAACGGACAUUUUUUGGAAAGCUCUUCGGAACUGGAAUCUAAAUGUUAGUGGCGGACUGGUGAGUAACACGUAAGCAACCUGCCUAUCAGAGGGGAACAACAGUUAGAAAUGACUGCUAAUACCGCAUAUGCCUUAGAACCACAUGGUUCAAAAGGGAAAGGAGCAAUCCGCUGAUAGAUGGGCUUGCGUCUGAUUAGCUAGUUGGUGGGGUAAUGGCCUACCAAGGCAACGAUCAGUAGCCGAACUGAGAGGUUGAACGGCCACAUUGGGACUGAGAUACGGCCCAG